UAGGCAUGGUUCACUCCCAAGGGAAAGGCCUUGGCGAGUUCUUCCUAUCCGUCGGUUGCCUCGACCAUUCGCCUAGAAACUAUUGCAAACGAUCGGCCCUUUAGCCAUGACCAAGCAUACCACCAUACUUAGGGUCUUAUAGGCAUAUAGCCGUUUUUAGUAAUCUACAUACAUGCGGACUCAACGCCACAAGUAUCGAUCACGAAACACUCAACCAAUCCAACCACACAAUCCUAAUCGGACCCAAAGGACCUGACCAUGAACCGGCCAGUCAUAGAACUUUGGUCCUAAUCCUACGUUAACGCACUUACCUUAGCCAAUCAAAGAGAAAAGAAGAAGAAGAGAAAGUACAAACACUAAAGGAACCCUUUCAGUUAUUUUCUAAUUCCGACCAAUCGUCUCACCGAACAGCCUCGUUGGACCAUCCGAGUACUCGCCUAACCUGAUCAA
rnacentral:lncRNA from 1 species